rnacentral:rRNA from 1 species
AGUGAACGCUGGCGGUAGGCCUAACACAUGCAAGUCGAACGGCAGCACAGUAAGAUCUUGCUCUUACGGGUGGCGAGUGGCGGACGGGUGAGGAAUACAUCGGAAUCUACUUUUUCGUGGGGGAUAACGUAGGGAAACUUACGCUACUACCGCAUACGACCUACGGGUGAAAGCAGGGGAUCUUCGGACCUUGCGCGAUUGAAUGAGCCGAUGUCGGAUUAGCUAGUUGGCGGGGUAAAGGCCCACCAAGGCGACGAUCCGUAGCUGGUCUGAGAGGAUGAUCAGCCACACUGGAACUGAGACACGGUCCAGACUCCUACGGGAGGCAGCAGUGGGGAAUAUUGGACAAUGGGCGCAAGCCUGAUCCAGCCAUACCGCGUGGGUGAAGAAGGCCUUCGGGUUGUAAAGCCCUUUUGUUGGGAAAGAAAAGCAGCAGGUUAAUACCCCGCUGUUCUGACGGUACCCAAAGAAUAAGCACCGGCUAACUUCGUG